CGUAGGUGGCGGACGGGUGAGUAACGCGUGGGUAACCUGCCCUGUACAGGGGGAGUAACAGCUGGAAACGGCUGCUAAUACCGCAUAAGCGCACGAGGAGACAUCUCCUUGUGUGAAAAACUCCGGUGGUACAGGAUGGGCCCGCGUCUGAUUAGCUGGUUGGCAGGGUAACGGCCUACCAAGGCAACGAUCAGUAGCCGGUCUGAGAGGAUGAACGGCCACAUUGGAACUGAGACACGGUCCAAACUCCUACGGGAGGCAGCAUG
rnacentral:rRNA from 1 species